rnacentral:rRNA from 1 species
GACGAACCGUGCGAACGUUGUUCGGAUUCACUGGGCUUAAAGGGCGCGUAGGCGGCUUGCCGAGUCAGGGGUGAAAUCUUUCGGCUCAACCGGAAAAGUGCUUCUGAUACUGGCGAGCUGGAGGGAGGUAGGGGCAGAUGGAACUUCCGGUGGAGCGGUGAAAUGCGUAGAUAUCGGAAGGAACGCCGGUGGCGAAGCGAUCUGCUGGACCUCUUCUGACGCUGAGGCGCGAAAGCGUGGGGAGCGAACAGG